AGCCUCUCAUUAUGACACACUGUAAAAAAAGUCAGUAAAAUAUACAGCAAAACACCGUCAAAUUCCAACGGUAAUGGAGCGUAAAACCAAAAACUUCCUUUUACUGUAUUAAAUAGAUUGAAUAACCGUUAAUUGUGAGACUGGAUAAAACUUUGUUUUUUACUGUGAUAAAAUGUUGAAAUUAUAAAUAUUGUCUGUGAAAACAAAUAAAUAUGCAUACAUUUUACAAUUAAAUAUUGUAACGUUGAAAAUGUCUGAAAAACUUAGAUUUUACGGUAUUAUUUGAGUAAAACUACAUCUUUUCGGGUUGUGCACAUUGGAAUUCACAGUAUAAAGCUGUAGAUUUUUAAGCAAACAAAAACAUUCAUUUUUACAGAAGCAAGAUGUUAAACAAUAGGGUCCACUGUAAUAAUACAACCAGUAAAUACCAUUUAAAAAAAAAAAAAGCAAAUAUCAGCAGUGAAAGACAAUAAAAUUGAUAGUAUUUUUUUUUAUUUUAAAAUUCAGAUACUGAUAUACAGAUUAAAAGUUAGGCCUGCAGUAUAUCAUUGUUAACCUUCUGAUAAAAAAAAAUCAACAGCAAAAGAAGAUGUUAAAAAUAAAGUUCAUGGUUGUGAAUAAAAUUGAUUUCAAUAAUCUUUUUUAAUUAUUAUUUUUAAAACAACUUUAUGUUGUUGUGUUUCACGCCAUAUUAUCAGACCACCUUAAGUGGGUCCGCCUUAAAUUUUGAGUUUGUGUGAUCGCUGUUGAUUGGUAGCUAAACUGCUGGUAAACUGUGUACAGACGUUUUACGUUCGAAUUGCAGAGAAAAAAAAAUUCUGGUUGCAACAUUGUGCAGUAUAAGCGAACCAUUUCACCAAAAAAAGGGGAAGCAAGGCAAGACGUGGCUGCAGCGGUCUGCAGACGUGACUUCUGAUCAAAUUCGAACCUCCUCCUAAAGAAACAAAGAGCGACAUUAUAUUGCGGGAUGACGUCACCUGAAAAUGACCAAUAGCGCGGUGCGCUGCUGAGCUGUGUGCCAACCGCUCUUUUUUUCAUGCAGGAGACUCAAGUUGGCUUCGCUAUCGGACACAGUUUUGAACUCGUAUAUUAGCGCCAUUUAUUGCUGCUUGGACCACAGCAUCUUCGGAAUUUGUAGACAUCCUGGCAGCAUACAAUUAGUUCGAGGUGAGGUGAGUACAUGCAACUUCAAGUUAUCUCUGUUAUAAAAAUCCACCAGCCCAGCGUUUAUAGAUAAUUUUAGCAGUUCGUUUUUUAUGAGUGAGGUUGUGAAUUUAGUUAGCAUUUGUGAGUUGAGUUAGCAUUACUGUCGCCAGGGAAGCAUUGCUCUGGAUUAGUUUCUGUGUUUGGCGUGCUUAAUUCGCUAGGGAGGAAUUACCAAAGUACAUGGAGUUAUGUUAACCUGUAAUUUCUGUGGUAAGGUAGUUCAGUCAUCAAGGGGCUACGUGCUUCAUUGUAAACUGCAUCGGAAUGAGCCACGUUGUUUCUUUCGGUGUAUUGAAGCAGGCUGCAAGCAGACAUACACCAGACACUGAAUUUGAGCAGAAACCAUAAGGAUACUCAAAGGACCUGUGACUCUCAGGAAAUGCAUCAAAUGAGAGGGACAGAUGAAACAGUUUCAAGACAAUGGCAGGAAAAACAUGCUGAAGAUUGAAACAAACCUUGGCUGGAAAUAUUUGAAAGUAUCUAGCCAGUCCACAAUGAAAAGCUUCGUUGCACCCCAUGAGUCUUCUGGCAGAAAUGAUGGCGCCUGUAUUCUUUGGUUUCCCUAAACAUCACACCCUGCCUGUUUAUACAAGGCUCUUCAAUUAAGUCUGCACCCAAAGAUUCAAUAAGAGGUAAGCAGUGGUAUUAUUCAAGUUUUGCUAAAGAAAGAUGGACAGGAGACACUAAUCUUAAUCAGCCGAGCUCAGGUUCAUGUCCAGGUGAGCAGUUUCAUACGCUAUAAAAUGUAGAUUGAAUGAUAGGUCUCAUCACCAUGCAUUCAGCCAUUAACUUCAAGUUCUAUGAUAAAUCAAUAGGAAACUUAAA